UACGGAGGGUGCGAGCGUUGUCCGGAAUCACUGGGCGUAAAGGGCGCGUAGGCGGCGCGGGAAGUCAUCGGUGAAAGUUCAGGGCUCAACUCUGAAUCGGCCGGUGAUACUCUCGUGCUUGAGCACUGUAGAGGCAGGUGGAAUUCCGGGUGUAGCGGUGGAAUGCGUAGAGAUCCGGAAGAACACCGGUGGCGAAGGCGGCCUGCUGGGCAGUAGCUGACGCUGAUGCGCGACAGCGUGGG
rnacentral:rRNA from 1 species